AACACCAACGGCUAUCUAUUCUAUAUAUCCUGUUCAAACACCACAUAUGUCUACCCGUCGCGGCGUCGGCCUUGGAGCCUUCGUAAACCGCAACCAGUCGGCACAGUCAUACGCCACCCACGGUGCCAACCUCCGCACCACCCACCUUACCUCCCUCCAGAAUCAACUCUCGGUUUUCCAAUCUCUUCUCCAUUCUUUUGCCCUUGAGCACGCCUCAACCAUUAAAUCGAAUCCAACCUUCCGCGCUGAGUUUGCGCGCAUGUGUCAUGCUAUCGGGGUCGAUCCUUUGGCAGCUAGCAACGUAAAGGGCAAAGGGAAGAAGGGUAUUAGCAUACCUGGUUUGGGUGAAGGGGGUAGUUUUUGGACGCAGAUACUAGGCGGUGAUGUGACCGAUUUCUAUUUUGAAGUUGCUGUGCGUGUUGUGGAACUUUGUCGAGAAACCAGAGGGGAGAAUGGUGGCCUUAUUGGAGUUGAGGAA
rnacentral:sRNA from 2 species